rnacentral:rRNA from 1 species
AUUGAACGCUGGCGGCAGGCCUAACACAUGCAAGUCGAGCGGAUGAAGAGAGCUUGCUCUCUGAUUUAGCGGCGGACGGGUGAGUAAUGCCUGGGAAUCUGCCUGGUAGUGGGGGAUAACGUUCCGAAAGGAACGCUAAUACCGCAUACGUCCUACGGGAGAAAGCAGGGGACCUUCGGGCCUUGCGCUAUCAGAUGAACCUAGGUCGGAUUAGCUAGUUGGUGAGGUAAUGGCUCACCAAGGCUACGAUCCGUAACUGGUCUGAGAGGAUGAUCAGUCACACUGGAACUGAGACACGGUCCAGACUCCUACGGGAGGCAGCAGUGGGGAAUAUUGGACAAUGGGCGAAAGCCUGAUCCAGCCAUGCCGCGUGUGUGAAGAAGGUCUCCGGAUUGUAAAGCACUUUAAGUUGGGAGGAAGGGCAGUAAGUUAAUACCUUGCUGUUUUGACGUUACCGACAGAAUAAGCACCGGCUAACUUCGUGCCAGCAGCCGCAGUAACAC